AAAUAAGCAAAAGUUAAUUUAAGUACUCUGUUUUCAAACACGUUUAAAAAUGUUACAAUUUUCUUACUUUCAUGUAAAAAGUAUUACUUAUUUUGAAGUUAAGUAAAAGUUAAUUUUUCAAACACGUUUAAAAAUGUUACAAUUUUCUUACUUUCAGGUAAAAAGUAUUACUUAUUUUGAAGUUAACUCUUACCUUAAUUCAAAAUAAGUUACUUAUUUUCCACUUAUGGCCUUUGAUAUGGUUGCAGCUUCUGCGUAUUGAAGAGGAACUUGGAAAUGUUCGUUAUGCUGGUGAAGCUUUCAGAAGUCCUUAAGCAAAGAGUAACUUCAACUUAUCUUCUAUUUAAACGAGAUCGGUUUAUUACGAUGCUACAACAUUAGUUCUCUGAAAGAAUAUGGAGUCUUGGCAUACUAUAGAGUUCUUUGCAUAUCUUGUCCACUUGAAUCCCAUAAGCCUGGCAUAAUAUCGUAAAAGAAAGGCAUAGAGAAUUUUGUGAUUCUGCUACCGGCUUAAUCUGGUUCUGUGAUUUGUAUUUUCCUUUUUAACGACAAACUUUCUGUCCAAUCUAAGCGAGGACUUGUAGUUUGAGAGACAACGAAUGAUUUUCUGCAGUGGGGUGUGAUAUUCUGGUUAUUUGGAUGCAAGCAUGUUCAGAAUGCAUGGGCUGUUCGUAUUUUUCUUAUAAUUUUGUGUUUCUUGACGUGCUCAUCAAAAAAGCUUUUAUCAUAUCGCUUAAGUUACGUACAAUGCUAGACCAGAUAAUACAACCUACAAAGCAAGCAAAAGUUUCUAAUUUCAUUUAGAUAUAAAACUACUUCAACCAGGUAUCAUGUUGUUUGGAUACCCUGAUACGUUACAAGAUUUUGCUUAAACUAGAAAUCCACUAAGAGGAAUAACUGAAACAAACUCACAUCUACGAACAUACGAAUUAUAAUUCAAGUGAAGACGAGGAGAAAAGAGGGA
rnacentral:lncRNA from 1 species